rnacentral:rRNA from 1 species
AGCAGCCGCGGUAAUUCCAGCUCCAAUAGCGUAUAUUAAAGUUGUUGCAGUUAAAAAGCUCGUAGUUGAAUUUCGGGGUCAGUAGGUCGGUCGUGCCACUGGUAUGAACUGGUUUUACUGAUUCCUCCCUCUUGAAGAACUGUAAUGCCAUUAAUUUGGUGUUGCAGGGAAUCAGGACUGUUACUUUGAAAAAAUUAGAGUGUUUAAAGCAAGCUAACGCUUGAAUACAUUAGCAUGGAAUAAUGAAAUAGGACGUUCGAUCCUAUUUUGUUGGUUUCUAGGAUUGACGUAAUGAUUAAUAGGGAUAGUUGGGGGCAUUAGUAUUCAAUUGUCAGAGGUGAAAUUCUUGGAUUUAUUGAAGACUAACUACUGCGAAAGCAUUUGCCAAGGAUGUUUUCAUUAAUCAAGAACGAAAGUUAGGGGAUCGAAGACGAUCAGAUACCGUCGUAGUCUUAACCAUAAACUAUGCCGACUAGGGAUCGGAUGAUGUUAAUUUUUUAAUGACUCAUUCGGCGCCUUGCG